rnacentral:rRNA from 1 species
AAAUUGAAGAGUUUGAUCAUGGCUCAGAUUGAACGCUGGCGGCAGGCCUAACACAUGCAAGUCGAGCGGCAGCGAAAAUAAAGAUUCUUCGGAUGAUUUAUUGGGCGGCGAGCGGCGGACGGGUGAGUAAUGCCUAGGAAAUUGCCCUGAUGUGGGGGAUAACCAUUGGAAACGAUGGCUAAUACCGCAUGAUGCCUACGGGCCAAAGAGGGGGACCUUCGGGCCUCUCGCGUCAGGAUAUGCCUAGGUGGGAUUAGCUAGUUGGUGAGGUAAGGGCUCACCAAGGCGACGAUCCCUAGCUGGUCUGAGAGGAUGAUCAGCCACACUGGAACUGAGACACGGUCCAGACUCCUACGGGAGGCAGCAGUGGGGAAUAUUGCACAAUGGGCGCAAGCCUGAUGCAGCCAUGCCGCGUGUGUGAAGAAGGCCUUCGGGUUGUAAAGCACUUUCAGUCGUGAGGAAGGUGGUAGUGUUAAUAGCACUAUCAUUUGACGUUAGCGACAGAAGAAGCACCGGCUAACUCCGUGCCAGCAGCCGCGGUAAUACGGAGGGUGCGAGCGUUAAUCGGAAUUACUGGGCGUAAAGCGCAUGCAGGUGGUUUGUUAAGUCAGAUG